GUGAGGAAUUUUCCGCAAUGGGCGAAAGCCUGACGGAGCAAUGCCGCGUGAAGGAUGAAGGCCUAUGGGUUGUAAACUUCUUUUCUCAGAAAAGAAUUAUGACGGUAUCUGAGGAAUAAGCAUCGGCUAACUCUGUGCCAGCAGCCGCGGUAAGACAGAGGAUGCAAGCGUUAUCCGGAAUGAUUGGGCGUAAAGCGUCUGUAGGUUGUUUAAAAAGUAUUCUGUCAAAAAUUAGGGCUUAACCCUAGAUAGGCAGAAUAAACUUUUAAGCUAGAGUUUGGUAGAGGCAGAGGGAAUUCCCGGUGGAGCGGUGAAAUGCGUAGAUAUCGGGAGGAACACCAAAGGCGAAGGCACUCUGCUGGGCCAAUACUAACACUGAGAGACGAAAGCGAGGGGAGCAAAUGGGAUUAGAAACCCGAGUAGUCC
rnacentral:rRNA from 1 species